UACGGAGGGAGCAAGCGUUACUCGGAAUUAUUGGGCGUAAAGGGCGCGUAGGCGAUUCGAAAAGUCAACUGUGAAAGCCCAGGGCCUAACCCUGGAAGUGCAGCUGAUACUGUUGAAUUUGAGUUCCGGAGAGGAAGGCAGAAUUCCCGGUGUAGCGGUGAAAUGCGUAGAUAUCUGGAGGAACACCGGUGGCGAAAGCGGCUCACUGGACCGUCACUGACGCUGAGGUGCGAAAGCUAGGGUAGCAAACGGG
rnacentral:rRNA from 1 species